GAGUGGCGGACGGGUGAGUAACACGUAGGUAACCCCCCCAGAAGCGGGGGACAACAUUUGGAAACAGAUGCUAAUACCGCAUAACAGCGUUGUUCGCAUGAACAACGCUUAAAAGAUGGCUUCUCGCUAUCACUUCUGGAUGGACCUGCGGUGCAUUAGCUUGUUGGUGGGGUAACGGCCUACCAAGGCGAUGAUGCAUAGCCGAGUUGAGAGACUGAUCGGCCACAAUGGGACUGAGACACGGCCCAUACUCCUACGGGAGGCAGCAGUAGGGAAUCUUCCACAAUGGGCGCAAGCCUGAUGGAGCAACACCGCGUGAGUGAAGAAGGGUUUCGGCUCGUAAAGCUCUGUUGUUAAAGAAGAACACGUAUGAGAGUAACUGUUCAUACGUUGACGGUAUUUAACCAGAAAGUCACGGCUAACUACGUGCCAGCAGCCGCGGUAAUACGUAGGUGGCAAGCGUUAUCCGGAUUUAUUGGGCGUAAAGAGAGUGCAGGCGGUUUUCUAAGUCUGAUGUGAAAGCCUUCGGCUUAACCGGAGAAGUGCAUCGGAAACUGGAUAACUUGAGUGCAGAAGAGGGUAGUGGAACUCCAUGUGUAGCGGUGGAAUGCGUAGAUAUAUGGAAGAACA
rnacentral:rRNA from 1 species